ACUCAAAUGAAUAGACGGGGACCCGCACAAGCGGUGGAGCAUGUGGUUUAAUUCGAAGCAACGCGAAGAACCUUACCAGGUCUUGACAUCCCGCUGCCCGGUAUAGAGAUAUACCUUUCCCUUCGGGGACAGCGGUGACAGGUGGUGCAUGGUUGUCGUCAGCUCGUGUCGUGAGAUGUUGGGUUAAGUCCCGCAACGAGCGCAACCCUUGAUCUUAGUUGCCAGCAUUCAGUUGGGCACUCUAAGGUGACUGCCGGUGACAAACCGGAGGAAGGUGGGGAUGACGUCAAAUCAUCAUGCCCCUUAUGACCUGGGCUACACACGUGCUACAAUGGACGGUACAAAGGGUUGCCAACCCGCGAGGGGGAGCCAAUCCCAUAAAACCGUUCCCAGUUCGGAUUGCAGGCUGCAACUCGCCUGCAUGAAGCCGGAAUCGCUAGUAAUCGUGGAUCAGCAUGCCACGGUGAAUACGUUCCCGGGUCUUGUACACACCGCCCGU
rnacentral:rRNA from 1 species